rnacentral:rRNA from 1 species
AUUGAACGCUGGCGGCAUGCUUUACACAUGCCAGUCGAACGGCAGCGCGGGCUUCGGCCUGGCGGCGAGUGGCGAACGGGUGAGUAAUGCAUCGGAACGUGCCCAGUAGUGGGGGAUAGCCCGGCGAAAGCCGGAUUAAUACCGCAUACGACCUGAGGGUGAAAGCGGGGGACCGAAAGGCCUCGCGCUAUUGGAGCGGCCGAUGUCGGAUUAGCUAGUUGGUGUGGUAAAGGCUUACCAAGGCGACGAUCCGUAGCUGGUCUGAGAGGACGACCAGCCACACUGGGACUGAGACACGGCCCAGACUCCUACGGGAGGCAGCAGUGGGGAAUUUUGGACAAUGGGGGCAACCCUGAUCCAGCCAUGCCGCGUGCGGGAAGAAGGCCUUCGGGUUGUAAACCGCUUUUGUUCGGGAAGAAAUCCUCUGGGCUAAUACCCCGGGGGGAUGACGGUACCGGAAGAAUAAGCACCGGCUAACUACGUG